rnacentral:rRNA from 1 species
AAAACUCCUUAUCAAAGCUUGACCUUGUCUGAUCUCUGAAGAUAAGUCAGGCAGGGCCUGGUCAGUACUUGGAUGGGAGACUGCUGGAAAUACCAGGAG